CUUCAUUUUCCUUGUGAUGCAUUGAGGAUGAGCCAAUUAAGGAACAAGACAGCUGAAAUGAACUUUCCUCCUCUGCCUUUGGUUCACAAAUCUGUAUGGUUACUGCAUUUUCUUCCCUGACUUUUCUGCCAUACUUACUGGCCAGAAUUGGAUUUAUGUCCCUCAUCAUUUCCCCCCAGCCCUCAGUUUUCAGCAGUGGACUUGGUCCAGAGUAAGCAGUCACCCUGUAAGUCAAGGCUGAUGGAAUCUCCCAAUGAAUUAUUUCAGCUCGGUGUGGCUCCAUCAUUCUGCCAAAUUCAUCAGUACAUGUAUUCAUAAAAAUGGCAGAAAAUCUUGGGAGUGGCUUUAGUAAAAUAAAAAAUUAGGGAACCACUGAAGUCAACUGAGCAGAACAAAGGAAUAACAACAGCACAAAAAACCCAGCGUGAGUCUACAGCCUGGGGGGGAGGCUGCAACUGAUGGAUCAGAUAAAGAAAUUUGGGUCUGAAGACAUGACAUGAACUGCCUGAAGUCACACAAGAAACAGAAACUACAGAGAAGCCGUAUGCUCAAAAGUCCUGAUCAGAGAUGCAUUCAGGGUCACCUGGUACCUUUGGAGAUUGGUGUUCUAGACUAUGUUAUGCACUUGGGCAGGGUUUUUAGCAUCUGUUUUAGGGAUGGGAUGGGAUCUCAAAUGUUGCCUUCUAAUAUAGUGGUGUAGCCUAGCUGAAUAAGAAUUGGAUUAGGAGUCAGAAAAGAAUGAACAAAUGCAAAACAGUUGCAUACAUUUAGAGGAAUCAUUUAACUUUCCUGAGCCUCUUAGAAUCCAGAGGGUCAGUGAUGAAGACUGUUUCCCAUCUCCUAACAGAAAUGAUGGACUAAAUGGUGCAAAAUCAAACACAUUUUUAAGACAUGGACAAUAUGGAAAUUCAAUUUACUUACCUAUUAAUAUUUGUCACAAAAAUUUGGUUUUUUUCUGUCUUUCUUUUUUUCUUCAGGGGGUAGUAGGAAUUACAAAAACCAAAUGCUUAUUAAUUGAAAAAAUAAAAUUGGUUAAAUAUAAAAUGAGUUUAAUAGAACCUCCUUUGUCUAUUUCAUGGAUUUUUUUAAUGAAGUGAUGAUUGUGGAAUGUGGAAAAUAAAGGUCACCAUCAUCAUUAUUCUGGAAGUUUGCUCUUAUUUUUUCCAUUAAAAUUCUAAUUUGCCUUAUUUUACCUGGGAAGAGAACUCUAUUAGAUUAUUAAUGUCUUAUGGGAAGGAAUGGAGUCUUCUUUAUUUUUAUAAAUCUGUCCUGUACCUUAUAUAUAUAACAGAUGCUUAAUAAAUGUUUGUUGGUUGAAUAAAAAAUUUCAGAGAUUGUCAAGUAAAUCCUGUUAUUUGAGAUAUGAAGAAAUAGAUUCAAAAAAUUUGUCCUAUGGCCAAUCCAGUUAGAAAAUUUUAGUGGCAGACCUCAAGAACUAAUGCUAUCAUCCAAGAAACUUGAAAGAAAGGUAAGAGGCAGUU